GGGCUCGUGCUCCCAAGCCAAACCGCCGGCCCCAUCGCCGUUGUAUGCCGUCGUCGUCUCCUCGUGGAUCGGCUGCGGUGAGCCAAAAAUCAGCUACGAUGGCAAUAAAAUCCAUUCCCCGCGCGCCAAAAUCCGUGGCAAAAUCGAUGCUCCUCCCUUCCUAGAUGCCGGAUGCAGCAGUUGCGCAAGGCUUACCAGAUGCGACGGCAUCCCUGGAGCGGACGGGGGCGCGGCGGCGGCAGCGGGGGAGCGGAAAGGCGCGAUGACGACCGAGAAGCGGAAAGGCUCGACGGCAGCAGCUGCUUCCGUCUCCGUUGCUCCGUCCACCGACCGGCGCAGCGAAAGGGAGAGCAGGGCGGCGAGUUGCUCGAAGCCUGGAUCUGGCUCCAAGCCUUGCUACCGUCCGCUGACCCAUCGGCAUUCAGGUGCCCGUGGUACUUCCUCAACAUCAACACAGUUCGUCCAGGGUGCCAACUCAGAUCUGCUCUCUUCCAUUUCCACAUCCGCUGAACCUUGUGGCCACAUGACACAUACUUUGGCUUUUAACUUAAACUCAUCUGCUA